UUUCGGUAAUGGAAUGUGAGGCAAAAACCCUAACUUAUCAAUUUUCCUUUCUCUUUCGUUCUCCGCCUCACUACUUCUGCCACUAAUCACAGGCUUCACCAUCGUCGUCGGCACUCAUCCAAGCGGCCAUCGUCAUCAUCGUCGGAAAUCCAAGCGCCCAUCGUAGGUACUCAGGCUCCUCUCCAUCUCCGAUGGAAUCUCGUAAUUGGAUGUAUAAUAGGAAUUAUCCUAAUCGUCGGUUUUUGAGGGAGGAAUUUAUAGAAGGGGUUAAGGAAUUUAUUACGCAUGCAAUGUCACUUGAACCGUUUCGGAUUGGACGGUUGAUUAGGUCUCUUUGUGUGAAGUGCAAGUGUCUGCAUUAUUUUGGACCGGCGGAUGUUAAGAGUCAUCUUUAUAAAAAAGGGUUUAUGGAUAAUUAUUUUGCGUGGACUAGUCAUGGAGAGAUUGAUGGUACUGAUGGUGUAUUUCAUAAUGUAGUAUUGGUGAAAGUAGUAGGUCGGUGGGGAAUAACGUUCAACAUCCGAGAUACCAUGAAAUGGUUGCGGAUGCUCUAGGGAUGCACUUCGAUUUUUAAACCCACGAAAGUGUUGAACAAACUCCUAAUGAAGAAGCAAAAUAUUUUUAUGAACAGUUAGAGGCUGCUAGUCGUCCACUAAAACACGGGAGUACACUCUCAGUUGUCUGUUGCGGUUAGAUUAUUAAGUAUCAAAUCAGAUACCAAUAUUUCUCAAGCAGGAAUGGAUUCUUUCAUUGGCCUUAUGAGUGAACUAGUUGACCCAAAUUUCAACAUACCUGAAGAUUUCUAUAAGGCUAAAAGAUUGGUUUCUAAGUUAGGACUCUCGUCUAUGAGAAUUGAUUGUUGUGAAGAUGGUUGCAUGUUGUAUUAUAAGGGUGAUGCAGAUGGCCGGUAGGGGUCGAGGUAGGUCUAGGAAGGAUAAAAGGCCUACUGAUCAUGAUGAUGGUGCUACACCCUCGCUUCCUUCCACUCCACACUUUCAUCCCUCUGCUGCCGAUGGCCGGCAGCAAUCUUCUAGGCAUAGAUCUAUUUCACCACAUCCAUCUACUCAUUAUACUACCCACCAUUCGCCCGUCCAACAGUAUUAUCACAAUUCUCCGCCAUAGGGCUAUACCCCGCUUCCUCCUAAUGAUCCUACCAAUAGUUACAUGGGUGCAUCGAGUCACCAGUCACAGUCACAGAGAUAUGUGAUACGCCCGUCAUCUGCUCCAUUUGCUUCAUCUCCAACCGGAUCGCACCCAUCUAGAUUUCAGAUGGCCGGAUCGCAGCAGGAUCGCAACAGGGGUCUAGACAUAUGCAGGGAUGUGGAUCGCAGCCAUCUUCACGGACCCCGUCUCCCUCUCCGCAGAGUUCGUCUCCUAGUGUUUCUAGACUUCGUCUUCGGGAUAGUAGCACUGAGCCAAAUGCCCUCUCUUCUGUGCAUGCUUCAGAUUUUUCAGAGGAUGAUGAUCCGGAUGAUGUGCGUUAUGAUCAUUACCAUAGGAUGAUCAUCAGUCCUGAGGGCAAUGGGUUUAUUCCUAAUAAUCGGGUUACAAAGAUAAUCACUGAUAUACUUGGCUCGUUGUAUUUAACACCCUAUCCGGCUUGGAGUGACUUUCCAGAGAGUCUCGUGCAACAGAUGUUCAACCAAUUUAAGACUAAGUGUUCAUGGGAGGACCAGUAUAACCGUGAAAUUUGUAAAAAUUAGAAGUACAAAUACCGUAAGAGACUCUCUGAUUCCUUCAGCUCCGCUCGAAGGGUUAAAAAGAAGCCUUCAUGGGUUCUACCGCAUAUAUGGGUGGAUCAGGAAAAGUAUUGGACCACCGACAAAUUCAAGAAGCAGAGUGAAUAGGGAAAGAAGGCCCGAGCAUCUGAGAAGGGUGGCUCCUUGCACUGUUUGGGUUCAAGGAGCAUGGGGAUACAAGGAGACAUCUGAAAAAAAAUUGGGGAGGAAGAUUGAUUCAUGAUGAGUUCUUCAUGGAGACUCACACCUGGAAGAAGGCACUGACAGAUCCAACUAGAUGGGUCGAGGACCAGGCAGAGACUACACAUGGUUGCUACAAGAUCAAUUUGGAGGAGUACACUCAGAGCUUGCCACCGAAUGAGCAAGACGAGCGACCGCCCAUUUCAGACGAAGAAGAGAAUAGGAUAUGGUUGGGUACUGUCGGUGGUCCUAAAAAGGGGAUAGCAUACGACCUUUCAGAUAAAUUGUUUCGGCGCUACAAGGCUGGAUUGCAAGGUAUAGGGACUUCCGCCCAAGGCGAGGCGAUUGAUAGUUCGACUAUAGCGUCUAGGGAAGAUAAGAUUGCAAAGCUGACAGCAGAGCAGGAAGAGACCAAGGCUAGUGAAAAGAAGAGAUUUGAUACCCUUCAAGGUCAGCUAGAAAGGAGGGACAAACAAUUUGAUCUCCUUUAAGGCCAGCUGGCCAAUCUUCUUGCUUGUGGUGCUUUCUCCAUUCCCCGGUCUCCUCCCCCUUCCCCACCUGCCGGCGAUGAAAGUCCGAGGAUCGAAGAUGGAGAUGAUGCUACAUAAAAAACUCAUUGAAUGUUGUGUAUUGUUAAACAAAGUUGUAAACUUGUCAAUAUUUUGUUGUUGGUUAUUUGAAUGAUGAUUAUAUUAUUAUUUUGUUAUUGAACACUUUAGUAGUUGUUGUGGUUA